rnacentral:rRNA from 1 species
CCUACGGGUGGCAGCAGUGGGGAAUAUUGCACAAUGGGGGAAACCCUGAUGCAGCGACGCCGCGUGAGUGAAGACGUAUUUCGGUAUGUAAAGCUCUAUCAGCAGGGAAGAAAAUGCCGUUACCUGACUAAGCAGCCCCGGCUAACUACGUGCCAGCAGCCGCGGUAAUACGUCGGGGGCAAGCGUUAUCCGGAUUUACUGGGUGUAAAGGGAGCGUAGACGGCAGCGCAAGUCUGAAGUGAAAUCCCAGGGCUUAACCAGGGAACUGCAUUGGAAACUGUGCAGCUGGAGUGCAGGAGAGGUAAGCGGAAUUCCUAGUGUAGCGGUGAAAUGCGUAGAUAUUAGGAGGAACACCAGUGGCGAAGGCGGCUUACUGGACUGUAACUGACGUUGAGGCUCGAAAGCGUGGGGAGCAAACAGGAUUAGAUACCCGUGUAGUC